ACAUGCCUACAGCAUAGAUGUUAUGCAUUCAAUCCCAUUAGAACUUUGCAGUUAAGCGCACUAUGGAUAUAGUAGUACUUGGAUGGGUGAUUGCUCGAGAAGUCCUGGUGUUUCACAUGCC
rnacentral:rRNA from 1 species